GACGAACGCUGGCGGCGUGCUUAACACAUGCAAGUCGAACGGAAAGGCCCUGCUUUUGUGGGGUGCUCGAGUGGCGAACGGGUGAGUGACACGUGAGUAACCUGCCCUUGACUUUGGGAUAACUUCAGGAAAAUGGGGCUAAUACCGGAUAGGAGCUCCUGCUGCAUGGUGGGGGUUGGAAAGUUUCGGCGGUUGGGGAUGGAAUCGCGGCUUAUCAGCUUGUUGGUGGGGUAGUGGCUUACCAAGGCUUUGAAGGGUAGCCGGCCUGAGAGGGUGACCGGCCACAUGGGUACUGCGAUACGGCCCAGACUCCUACGGGAGGCAGCAGUGGGGAGUAUGGCACAAUGGGCGGAAGCCUGAUGCAGCAACGCCGCGUGCGUGAUGACCGCCUUCGGGUUGUAAACCGCUUUCUCCUGUGACGAAGCGUGAUUGACGGUAAUGGGUAAAGAAGCACCGGCUAACUACGUG
rnacentral:rRNA from 1 species